GAAACGACUGCUAAGACUGGAUAGGAAGAUAAAAGGCAUCUUUUAUCUUUUAAAAGACCUAGUAAUGGGUAUGCUUUAGGAGGGGCUUGCGCCAUAUUAGUUAGUUGGUAGGGUAAUGGCCUACCAAGACGAUGAUGUGUAGCUGGACUGAGAGGUUGAACAGCCACAUUGGGACUGAGACACGGCCCAAACUCCUACGGGAGGCAGCAGUAGGGAAUUUUCGGCAAUGGAGGAAACUCUGACCGAGCAACGCCGCGUGAAUGACGAAGUACUUCGGUAUGUAAAGUUCUUUUAUCAAGGAAGAAAAGCAAAUGGCGAACCAUUUGUUUGCCGGUACUUGAUGAAUAAGCCCCGGCUAAUUAUGUGCCAGCAGCCGCGGUAAGACAUAAGGGGCAAGUGUUAUCCGGAAUUAUUGGGCGUAAAGGGUGCGUAGGCGGUCUAGUAAGUCAGUGGUGUAAUGGCAACGCUUAACGUUGUCCGGCUAUUGAAACUGCUAAACCUGAGUUAGAUAGAGGCGAGUGGAAUUCCAUGUGUAGCGGUAAAAUGCGUAAAUAUAUGGAGGAACACCAGAGGCGUAGGCGGCUCGCUGGGUCUUAACUGACGCUGAGGCACGAAAGCGUGGGGAGCAAACAGGAUUAGAUACCCUGGUAGUCCACGCCGUAAACGAUGAGUACUAAGUGUCGGGUUAAACCGGUACUGAAGUUAACACAUUAAGUACUCCGCCUGAGUAGUACGUACGCAAGUAUGAAACUUAAAGGAAUUGACGGGACUCCGCACAAGCGGUGGAUCAUGUUGUUUAAUUCGAAGAUACCCGAAAAACCUUACCAGGUCUUGACAUGUUUUUGCAAAAUGAUAGUAAUAUCGUGGAGGUUACCAGAAACACAGGUGGUGCAUGGUUGUCGUCAACUCGUGUCGUGAGAUGUUAGGUUAAGUCCUAAAACGAGCGAAACCCUUAUCGUUAGUUGCCAGCACGUUAUGGUGGGGACUUUAACGAGACUGCCAAUGAUAAAUUGGAGGAAGGUGAGGAUCACGUCAAAUCAGCAUGCCCCUUAUGACCUGGGCUACAAACGUGAUACAAUGGCUGUUACAAAGGGUAGCUGAAACGCAAGUUCUUGGCCAAUCCCCAAAAACAGUCCCAGUCCGGAUUGAAGUCUGCAACUCGACUUCAUGAAGUUGGAAUCGCUAGUAAUCGCGAAUCAGCAUGUCGCGGUGAAUACGUUCUCGGGUUUGUACACACCGCCCGUCA
rnacentral:rRNA from 1 species